rnacentral:rRNA from 1 species
GACGAACGCUGGCGGCGUGCUUAACACAUGCAAGUCGAACGGAGCUAUUUAUUUCGGUAGAUAGCUUAGUGGCAAACGGGUGAGUAACGCGUAGGCAACCUACCCUCGGGAUGGGGACAACGGCUCGAAAGAGCCGCUAAUACCGAAUGACGUAACUUUCCCACAUGGGAGAGAUACUAAAGAUGGGUCAAACCAUCGCCCGAGGAUGGGCCUGCGUCUGAUUAGCCAGUUGGUGAGGUAACGGCUCACCAAAGCAACGAUCAGUAGCCGGUCUGAGAGGAUGAACGGCCACAAUGGGACUGAGACACGGCCCAUACUCCUACGGGAGGCAGCAGUGGGGAAUCUUCCGCAAUGGGCGAAAGCCUGACGGAGCAACGCCGCGUGAGUGAAGAAGGUCUUCGGAUCGUAAAGCUCUGUUGUCGGGGACGAAAGGAAAGGGGAGGCAAU